rnacentral:rRNA from 1 species
AACGAACGCUGGCGGCAGGCCUAACACAUGCAAGUCGAGCGGGACCUUCGGGUCCAGCGGCGGACGGGUGAGUAUAGCGUGGGAACGUGCCGCUCUCUACGGAAUAGCCUCGGGACAAUGAGAGUAAUACAGUAUACGACCCUUGGGGGCAAGAUUUAUCGGAGACGGAUCGGCCCGCGUUGGAUUAGGUAGUUGAUGGGGUAAUGGCCUACCACGCCGGCGAUCCAUGGCUGGUUUGAGAGGAUGAUCAUCCACACUGAGACUGAGACACGGCCCAGACUCCUACGGGAGGCAGCAGUGGGGAAUCUUAGACAAUGGGGGCAACCCUGAUCUAGCCAUGCCGCGUGAGUGAUGAAGGCCUUAGGGUUGUAAAGCUCUUUCAGCUGGGAAGAUAAUGACGGUACCAGCAGAAGAAGUCCCGGCUAACUCCGUGCCAGCCGCCGCCGUAAAAC